CACUGUUGAGAGACAACCGGAUUAGAACUUUUUUUGCUUUCUCUGGACUUCUUCCCAGAUUUGAGAUAAGUUUACAUUUCCCUAUAGGCAAAAUCAAUUCUACCCAUCUUUGGAAGGCAUUUGUCUAAGCGCGUCAGACAUUUUUCAGCCAAUGGAAGUCGGACAAAACUGAUAUUACUGAUGCAGCGGAGGAACGUCUGCUUAUAUGAUAUCUGAAGCGGGUCAGAGCAUAUCCAAGUGUGAAAUAGUUCGAAAAGAAAAAAAAAAAAAAAUAAAGAUGAAAAUUCACUAAAUGCUUUGAAUAAACUCUGGAGAGGGAUGGAUAAUCUUCUGUGAUAGUAUAGUCUUUUCCCAGUUGCAAAAAGGAGACUUAGCAAUACCUGCAGUUAUUUAUUUGAUUCCUCCUAGCUAAGUAUGUUAAGAUGCGCCUAUUGUCAAGUUUGUUUAAAGUUAAGUUCUUAAAUUCUUGC